AACGAACGCUGGCGGCGUGGAUAAGACAUGCAAGUCGAACGGGACAGACCGAGUAGCAAUAUUUGGAAUGUUCAGUGGCGAACGGGUGCGUAACACGUGGAUAACAUUCCGGAAAGCGGGGAAUAGCCCAGGGAAACUUGGAUUAAUACCGCAUGUGGCCGCAAGGCUAAAGACGGGGACCGCAAGGCCUGUCACUUUCCGAUUGGUCCGCGGCCUAUCAGCUAGUUGGCGGGGGAACGGCCCACCAAGGCUACGACGGGUAGCUGGGCUUAGAGGACGACCAGCCAGACUGGAGCUGAGGCCCGGUCCAGACACCUACGGGUGGCAGCAGUCGAGAAUCUUUCAAGAUGGGGGCAACCCUGAUGGAGCGACGGCGCGUGGAGGAUAAGGUCUUCGGAUUGUAAACUCCUGUCAUGCGAGAACAAGGUACUCAGGCUAAUAUCCUGAUUGUUUGAUGGAACCGCAAGAGGAAGAGACGGCUAACUCUGUGCCAGCCGCCGCCGUAAAAC
rnacentral:rRNA from 1 species